rnacentral:rRNA from 1 species
UAGUUAGCCGACNCUUAUUCCUGGCAUACUGUCCUUCCUCUUCUGCCAGAAAAAGUGCUUUACAACCCGAAAGCCUUCUUCACACACGCGGCGUUGCUGCAUCAGGCUUUCGCCCAUUGUGCAAUAUUCCUUA